rnacentral:rRNA from 1 species
ACGGAGGGUGCGAGCGUUAAUCGGAAUUACUGGGCGUAAAGCGCACGUAGGCGGCUAAGUAAGUGGGAUGUGAAAUCCCCGGGCUUAACCUGGGAACUGCAUUUGUGACUGCAUCGCUGGAGUGCGGCAGAGGGGGAUGGAAUUCCGCGUGUAGCAGUGAAAUGCGUAGAUAUGCGGAGGAACACCGAUGGCGAAGGCAAUCCCCUGGGCCUGCACUGACGCUCAUGCACGAAAGCGUGGGGAGCAAACAGGA